GAUGAAGAACGUAGCGAAAUGCGAUACUUGGUGUGAAUUGCAGAAUCCCGUGAACCAUCGAGUCUUUGAACGCAAGUUGCGCCCGAAGCCAUCAGGUUGAGGGCACGUCUGCCUGGGCGUCACAUAUCGUUGCUCGAUGCCUAUCGCAUUGCGAUAGGACUUAGGGCGAAUGAUGGCUUCCCGUGAGCGUUGUUGCCUCGCGGUUGGUUGAAAAUCGAGUCCUUGGUAGGGUGUGCCAUGAUAGAUGGUGGUCGAGUUAGCACGAGACCGACCAUGUGCAUGCUCCCCAAAAUAUGGCCUCUGUGACCCACACGUGUCUUUUGACGCUCAUGACGAGACCUCAGGUCAGGCGGGGCUACCCGCUGAAUUUAAGCAUAUCAAUAAGCGGAGGA
rnacentral:misc_RNA from 1 species